CGCUGGCGGCAGGCCUAACACAUGCAAGUCGAACGGUAACAGGAAGAAGCUUGCUUCUUUGCUGACGAGUGGCGGACGGGUGAGUAAUGUCUGGGAAACUGCCUGAUGGAGGGGGAUAACUACUGGAAACGGUAGCUAAUACCGCAUAACGUCGCAAGACCAAAGAGGGGGACCUUCGGGCCUCUUGCCAUCGGAUGUGCCCAGAUGGGAUUAGCUAGUAGGUGGGGUAACGGCUCACCUAGGCGACGAUCCCUAGCUGGUCUGAGAGGAUGACCAGCCACACUGGAACUGAGACACGGUCCAGACUCCUACGGGAGGCAGCAGUGGGGAAUAUUGCACAAUGGGCGCAAGCCUGAUGCAGCCAUGCCGCGUGUAUGAAGAAGGCCUUCGGGUUGUAAAGUACUUUCAGCGGGGAGGAAGGGAGUAAAGUUAAUACCUUUGCUCAUUGACGUUACCCGCAGAAGAAGCACCGGCUAACUCCGUGCCAGCAGCCGCGGUAAUACGGAGGGUGCAAGCGUUAAUCGGAAUUACUGGGCGUAAAGCGCACGCAGGCGGUUUGUUAAGUCAGAUGUGAAAUCCCCGGGCUCAACCUGGGAACUGCAUCUGAUACUGGCAAGCUUGAGUCUCGUAGAGGGGGGUAGAAUUCCAGGUGUAGCGGUGAAAUGCGUAGAGAUCUGGAGGAAUACCGGUGGCGAAGGCGGCC
rnacentral:rRNA from 1 species